rnacentral:rRNA from 1 species
UACAGAGGUCUCAAGCGUUGUUCGGAUUCAUUGGGCGUAAAGGGUGCGUAGGCGGCGCGGUAAGUCGGGUGUGAAAUCUCGGAGCUUAACUCCGAAACUGCAUUCGAUACUGCCGUGCUUGAGGACUGGAGAGGAGACUGGAAUUUACGGUGUAGCGGUGAAAUGCGUAGAUAUGUGGAGGAAUACCGAUGGCGAAGGCAGCCCCCUGGGCCAAUACUGACGCUCAUGCACGAAAGCGUGGGGAGCAAACAGG